CCAGACUCCUACGGGAGGCAGCAGUGGGGAAUAUUGGACAAUGGGGGAAACCCUGAUCCAGCGACGCCGCGUGAGUGAAGAAGUAUUUCGGUACGUAAAGCUCUAUCAGCAGGAAAGAAAAUGACGGUACCUGACUAAGAAGCCCCGGCUAACUACGUGCCAGCAGCCGCGGUAAUACGUAGGGGGCAAGCGUUAUCCGGAUUUACUGGGUGUAAAGGGAGCGUAGACGGCAGCGCAAGUCUGGAGUGAAAUGCCGGGGCCCAACCCCGGAACUGCUCUGGAAACUGUGAAGCUGGAGUGCAGGAGAGGUAAGCGGAAUUCCUGGGGUAGCGGUGAAAUGCGUAGAUAUCAGGAGGAACAUCGGUGGCGAAAGCGCUUUACUGGGCCAUUAUUGACGCUGAGGAACGAAAGCCAGGGGAGCAAAUGGGAUUAGAUACCCCGGUAU
rnacentral:rRNA from 1 species